UACGGGGGGGGCAAGCGUUGUUCGGAAUUACUGGGCGUAAAGGGCUCGUAGGCGGCCAACUAAGUCGGACGUGAAAUCCCUCGGCUUAACCGGGGAACUGCGUCCGAUACUGGAUGGCUUGAGUUCGGGAGAGGGAUGCGGAAUUCCAGGUGUAGCGGUGAAAUGCGUAGAUAUCUGGAGGAACACCGAUGGCGAAGGCGGCAUCCUGGACCGACACUGACGCUGAGGAGCGAAAGCCAGGGGAGCAAACGGGG
rnacentral:rRNA from 1 species